rnacentral:rRNA from 1 species
ACGUAGGGCGCAAGCGUUGUCCGGAAUUAUUGGGCGUAAAGAGCUCGUAGGCGGUCUGUUGCGUCCGCUGUGAAAUCUCGGGGCUUAACCCCGAGCCUGCAGUGGAUACGGGCAGACUAGAGGUAGGUAGGGGAGAAUGGAAUUCCCGGUGUAGCGGUGAAAUGCGCAGAUAUCGGGAGGAACACCGGUGGCGAAGGCGGUUCUCUGGGCCUUACCUGACGCUGAGGAGCGAAAGCGUGGGGAGCGAACAGGA